CAAAGAUCUAUAUCAAAGAAUAAUGGCACUAGGAGAGGGGGAGGAAAAGACAAACCAUGAUGAUACAGAAUCUGGAAGGAGGGAGUACUGGGAUGGUAUACAACUUAAAGACAAUGGAGGACUAGAUCCCUUCCAUACUGCUGCUUCAUUCUUCUGCUUCACAUCAUUGGCCAAAACAUAGGUAUGUGACCACACUGGACCCAACAGAAGGUUGGGCAAUGCAAGACACCAGAAGAAAAUGGAUUGCAACCUCUGUCAAACCAAGUAUUAUACAGAUAUUAUCAUCUUUACUCCU